UGGUCGAUUAAGACAGCAGGA
rnacentral:snRNA from 1 species